AGAGUUUGAUCCUGGCUCAGAGCGAACGCUGGCGGCAGGCCUAACACAUGCAAGUCGAGCGCCCAGCAAUGGGAGCGGCAGACGGGUGAGUAACACGUGGGGAUCUACCCAAUGGUACGGAAUAACCCAGGGAAACUUGGAUUAAUACCGUAUGUGCCCUUCGGGGGAAAGAUUUAUCGCCAUUGGAUGAACCCGCGUCGGAUUAGCUAGUUGGUGAGGUAAAGGCUCACCAAGGCGACGAUCCGUAGCUGGUCUGAGAGGAUGAUCAGCCACACUGGGACUGAGACACGGCCCAGACUCCUACGGGAGGCAGCAGUGGGGAAUAUUGGACAAUGGGCGCAAGCCUGAUCCAGCCAUGCCGCGUGAGUGAUGAAGGCCUUAGGGUUGUAAAGCUCUUUCGCCGGUGAAGAUAAUGACGGUAACCGGAGAAGAAGCCCCGGCUAACUUCGUG
rnacentral:rRNA from 1 species